rnacentral:lncRNA from 1 species
AAGAAGAGGGAAGAAAGAAAGAAAAAGGCCCAACUAGACGUAAUAACAGCCCAACCGGCUAGGAAAGAAGAGAGAAGAAAAAAGGGGGGGGGGACAUUAGGCUGCCAGAGCUACACUAGUAACUUGCCGUUGACACACCCGCUAGGAACACUUCCCUCGCCAAGACAAACUAACGAUACCAUGGAAGACCACCAUUGGAGGCCGAAAGCAUCCAGGCAUGCAGCUUGAAAACAACAUCGAGCAUGUAUGACGUGCUAAACAAUGUUCUACCCCUUCUUCCAUUUCAGUCCCUGAUCAUUUAAUAACUCUUCAAUUCAACACCUAACCCGAUCCAACUAAGCCCGGUAAGGGAGAGGAAAGGGGAAAAAAAAUUUGGCUCAACCAGGCAAAAAAAAACCCUAACCUAACCGAACUCGCCUCAAAAAGUGAGGGAGAAGAAGAAAAAAGAAGAGAGAAAGAGAGGGAAAAGGUGGCCAACCCAAACUAGCGACAAACACAUUGGCUCUUUUCAUAUUGAGCAAAUUUCAAAUUGGACAUGACACAAGGUUCAAGGCACGCCCAAUAUAUUCACCACUUUGAAUUCUUUGUUUUACAAGUUAUCAGUCACACUUGAAUUUUCUUCUUACAAGGUUAUUAAAACGAUGCCCACUUGAACUCUCUAAAUUGUCAAUACGAUGCCCACUUGAACUCUCUAAAUUUGAAUACAAUGCCUACCUAAAAGCCUUGUCUCAUAGGUUAACAUGAUGGCAUGAACAACUUGUCCUAACAAGUUGUUUGUGCAGACAUUCACGGUGAAUUAAAUAUUCUUUGAUUCCUACAAGUAGAUGUGCGAACCUACAACCUAUAAUGAAAAUACAGAAAAUACAAGUGAUGCUAUAAUGAAAUUACAGGAAGUACAAGUGAUGCCAGGUAUAUUAAUACCAAUGACCAAAAGGUAUAAAAGAGAACUGCGUAACAUUAUAUAUCCACACAUAUAGAACACAACACAUUCUCCUACAUUUUCAUUUCCCUUCUUCUAUAAAUUAUGCUUAGGCAUUGGAGGGUCCUAUGAAGGACUUGUUUCACAGGAGAAAAUGGAUUAUUAACCCAAGCACAUUUUUUUUUCCAAUCCCAUUAAGCAGCCGUGGAAAGGUCCGUGUGAAGUUUUUCGAACUUCGUCAAUAUACGUUUGCAAAUUAUUUAAUUAUAGGAUAAUAACUGCAUAAUAUCCAGCUCUAUUAACCUUGAUCAAACCACUAAUUCUUUUUCCACUGAAUGAAUAUGAAAAUAACUUAAAUAACACAUUAAUCUUUUGUUUUUUAGCAUAAACUAUUGACUUGUUGGUUUAGCAUCCAUCCUUUAGAAUCAAAAUUAAAAAGUAAAAACAAAACAAUUCCCUGCAAAAGGAUCAAAAGCAAGCAAACCCCCAAAAAUUAAUUAAUCAAAGACAUAGCCAAAACACCAAAAUCCCUUAGGUAAUUAAAUCAUAACCAAUCCCAUCAUUCGAUAUCAUAACAAACAUCAAUUAAAAAAGAACAGGGAAUAAAAAAACUGACCUUGGAGGUCCAGAGAAGAUCACUAGAAGCAACACGGUUCCAGGUACGAGAAACGACGAGACAUAGUGCCAAGCUGCGUGCGUCAAGGUUGUUCAAAACCCUCAACAUCAAGUCCCUACCAAGCACAUCCAAAGGGUCUUGACAAAAGGGACGACCUCGAUCCUCCCUCAUCUUCUUUCUUUUCCUUUUCUUUCCUUUCCUCUCCACUACUAAAGCUAAACCCUCUUCCAUGUCCUUGCUCUGGUUCUCCUAUAAUUCUCGCUCGUUGGUCUGUGCCAUUGAAGAGGAGUGAGACAGAGAAGUGAAGAAAGAAGGAAUGUGAAUCAAGUUUGGCUUUGCAUUUUUUAACGUUUCUUUCCUUCGGCCUUUUUCUUUACUCUGUUGUCGUUUUGUGAGAUUGGGAUUCUGUCUGAAUACAGUGUAACUAGAGUAGAGGAGAUCAUCUUUGGAAGUCUUACGAGUGCGGAUUUAGUUUUAGUUAAGGGUGGAUAAAUUCGGUAAUUAACAUGAAAAAUGCUAAUAAAAAAGGAAAUGAAAUAAAUAUUUUUUUCAGUGAAAUAGUAUAUUUUGUAUGUUAUGAUUAAAAAUUAUGAUAUUUAAUUAAAUAUUUUAAAUAUUAUAGUUUUUAAACACGAUAUUUAUUAUAUAUUAUAGUUGGGAAUUACAAUAAAUUUUUAAUUAAUAUUAAAAAAAAUUAUAAAAUUGUUAAAAUUAGAAUUCCUAAAUAAAAUUUUUAAAAUCUAAAUAUUCAACAGUUAAAGAAGCGACUCCAUGCUAUUUUAAAAAAAAAAUCUCUAGAAAAUCAGUUAAAAAAACGACUCCAUUGCAACCAAGUUAUUUUAAUUUUUAUAAAAUGAAAAUUUAAAACACAAUUAUACAUAAUAUCUAAUAUAAAAAGCAAAAGCUAUUUAAUUAAUAAGAUGAUUUUUUCUUUGUAGUUAAGCGUAAAUCCACAAUAAUAAAUAGUUUCAAAUUUAAUAUUUAAUUUGAAAUUGGUUCAAGGCUGUUGUGUUAUAAAAUUAAUUUGGAUAAAAUAAUUUUAUUAAAAUAAAAUAAUUUCAUUUUUAUAAAACAUUAACUUGAUUAAUCUAAAUUUGAUCGGACAAUUGAAAUAUUAAACAUCAAGCAAUGUCAACUAGGUUUGCCAAGUAAAUUAUUUGUUUGAUUUAACUAAAAACCCAAUAAUUUUAUUUUAUCAAAACGUUGGUGAAAGUUGAAUCCAUUUAAAAACCAACAAAAAAUAGAUAUUGGAGCAUAUGCCAACUUCCAAUCCCUCGUGAUUAUUAUUCUAUCAAAACGUCGCUGGAAUUAUUGUUUUAUGAUCUUGGUUAAUUAAAUUAAACAUUUGUCAAUCUCUAGUCUAAGAAAUAGAGGCAGGUUAACGAGUUCUUUUAUUCCUUUAUUACUUCCUUCACUCAUGGAAGGUAACAAAACGAGUACACGGGGCUCGAAGACGGGCCUAGGCCUAUCACAACGAACAGCUGAAAGACGACACGAAUGCAAUAAAGAGACAGACUAGACACGAAACAAGAGGUCCUGAACACUGAAAAACGCACCACAGUUACCGUUAUUAUCUGUAUCGCCGCUGCGAUCAGGCAGAUGCAGCCAAUAUUGCUUCUCUGCGACGCUUAAAGAAGGUAACCGACCAGCCCCUAUCUGGAAGGUUUUCUUUAAUUAUAGGGGCUUGCUUGAAGUUUUUCAUCCAGGCAUGCAGGCGAGGAAACUUGUGGGCUUCAAAUAUUACUCCUUCCCCUACUACUUCUUCAAUGAGUCCCAACCAAUAAAUAACAGAACCAAAGGCUAUAUCUGCUAUCCCAAUACUGUCUCCACCAAAAAAUUUCUUCUCCCCUAACGCGUGUUCUUCUACGUUGUGCAACAUUUCCAGGGUUUCCUUCCUUGUAUUCUCAAGCUCUUCCCCUUUAGCACGAAACAGUCUCCACACUGAUGUACCCUGAAGCCAGAAUCAACCAUGACAUUAAUCACUGGAAACUAAAUGGAGUGCCAAAGAAAAUUAAGCUUAACAAGUCCAGUUUAAUUUAUAGUAUUGUAUGAAUCAUGAAAUGUACAAUAAUGUCUGCAAGCUGUACCUUAUCUUCGGCAAAUUUGACCCAGAAACGAGCCAGAGCUCUCUCGUAGGGGUCAUUUGGCAGCAAUGGAUUUUGGGGCCACAUCUCAUCGAUGUAUUCGACAAUGAUCAUGGACUCGCAAACUGGCUUAUCGCCAUGGAGAAGCACUGGGAUCUUCUUGUGAACAGGGUUAUACUUGAGAAGCAGCGGACUUUUAUUGGUGAGAUCUUCUUCGAUAAACUCGUAUGGAAUAGCCUUUAAUUUUAGUGCCCAUAUCACUCGGUAAACAAAUGGGCUGGGCAAUGCUCCAAGCAGCUUCACUCUUUCCGCCAUGACUGAGAGGUUUGUGGUGAUUCUUCAUCGUUACCUUCCACGCUCCUUUAUAGUGUUAAUUCAACGGAAGAGUCUCGCUUGGGCAGCAAUUCAACUUUGCCUUUGAAGGAGUUUUCUAGUCCAUAUUGAUGUAUUUGCUUACGUGAUCAUAUUCAUAAACAACUGUAUUUAUAUAAUCUAUUCGCCAAGAUCAGAGAUUGAAGAUGCUAGAACAUGAUCUAAUUAAAUUAAAUAUAUUCUAUUUCUCUUCUCUUUUCUUUAUGCUCAAGUUUAAUCAUGUUUUAAGUUUAAUUAUAUUUUUUCUGGGGAAAAAAGUUUGGAUUUUCCUCUUUCUCUCUUUAUUCUUUUUAAUUAUGUGUGCAAAGAGACAAAACCACGAAGAUAAGAAAUAAAAUAUUAAUUAAAACCAUGUCCGGUAGUGAAUAGUGAUGUGUCGCUUGUUCUACGAAAGUUUCAAUUUCCCGGAACAUACUCGAUGUUGUCGAUGUUGACUAUACAUCAUCUUCUGGAUGUUGCUGCAUGAUAGCCGUCAUGCAUGAUGGUAUAAUGCUAAGAUAUUUUUUUUUUUAUUUUUUUAAUAUAUUGAUAUUAAAAAUAAAUUUUAAAAAAUAAAAAAUAUUAUUUUAAUAUAUUUUAAAAUAAAAAAUAUUUUAAAAAAUAAUCCUUAUUAUAAUAUUAAACAGGCUAUAAUUACAUUGCCAUGCCUCCUGAGUCUUGAUAGCCAAGACAGGCAAACUGAUUGGUUUACAUAAACAAUAUUUGAUUGUGCCGAAAUAAGAUAAACUCUUCUUUGUAUAUGUGUAGCAUUAAUUUGUGAUCGUUUGGUUUUCGUAUAGCACAUCUUAUCAUGAGGCAUUAGGAUGUUUUAGAGUUAAAUUGUUUACAUUUUUAUCAUGUAUUAAAUUCUAUAAUUCAAUUUGAAUUUGAUAAUUUAAAUUCAAUAAACAGUUAAAUUAUUGUAGAAUUCUAUUUGAGAGACAAAAGAACAAACAACUGCCUUUUGAGAAAAUCAAUGUGUGUUUGGUAUUGUGGUAGCUGUUGUGAUUUGAAAAAAAUUGUUUUAUAAAAAGUACUUUUAGUUGGUUUGAUAUUUAUAUAUGUUUGAUUAAAACUGUGAUUAAAAUUGAAGUUGAUUAAAAAAUAGUUUAAUGUAUUUGGUUAAAAAUACUUUUCAAAUUGAGGUUAUAAAAUAAUUAAAAAAGAUAUAUAUUAAUAUUGAUGGUUUUUAAUUUAAAUAUUGUAUAUUUAAAUACUGCUAUUACAUCAUGAAAUAAAUAAUAAUUUAUAUAAAAUAUUUUUUAUUGUUCCAUUAAACUUUCUACAAUUCCAUAAUGUACGAAAUUCAUUCGAUAAGGACUACAGUUUCCAUGGUUUAUUGAGCAUGCAACAACAUCAGGUAAAAUAUUAUCAGGAACAAAAUUGAAAUUGCAAUCAAAUUCUGUAAAUGCUACGUCAUUAUGCGAUAUCCUUCUAAUUUAUGUAGUGUCAUUGCAUAAUGUUAAACAGUAGUUUUUUUUCAAUAAAACACAAUUAAAAAUAAAAAAAAUGGAUUUUUUUUAUUUUACUGGGUCGGACCCGAUUCAAUACAUUUAGGUUUGUACCGGACCGGUCCGGCCGAAACAGUGCUCCACCGUUCACUUUUGUAAAGAAACUUGAAUGAGUUAUCUGCCAUGAUUAAUUCACCUACAACUCUUGAUCAUGUAUAGGCAUCCACCUCUUCCAGCUGUUGCAGAUGAUUAAAGUUUGAGAGAGGAAAGGCACCAUUCCUUGUGAAGCAGAUCGUGGAGCUGGAUCGCUCCGCCCCUAGUCAUCUUCACUAUCUCGAUCUUCAAACAAGUCUUCGGCUGGGUCAUACACAAUCAUGUCAGGGAAAAGCUCCAGGAAGUCAUCUUUUACAUGCUCUAUGUAAUGUUUGGGAAAGACAAGCUACAACAUAUAGAAUUUGCAAUUCCAAACACAAAAGAUGAAUAAUUGAGCCGGAUUUUGAAAAAUGAGGUUAGCUGCUGUUGGAAAGCAUAGUUUUCCAAUUUUUUAUCAGCCACAGGUGCAGCCACAAUUACUCUGGGUCCCACCAAAAUAAAAUCUUUUUUUCUUUUUAUUUUUGCAUAACCAAACACAUAGAAACUAUGGUUUAUUUGAACCUCCGGUACAGCCGCAUUACCAAACGGCACCCGCUGUUGUGUGGUUGCGGUUGUUUUUUAAAGUGUUUUUCACUUAGAAAUAUAUCAAGAUAAUAUUUUUUUUUAUUUUUUUAAAAUUAUUUUUGACACCAGCGCAUCAAAAUGAUCUAAAAACAUAAAAAAAAUAUUAAUUUGAAGUAAGAAAAAAAAUAAAAAAAAAUUAAUUUUUUUUAUAAGCGCUUUUGAAAUAUAAAAACAAAGAGAGUUGUGCGACAGAAGAGAAAAGAAGAGGGAAGAAAGAAAGAAAAAUGCCCAACUAGACGUAAUAACAGCCCAACCGGCUAGGAAAGAAGAGAGAAGAAAAAAGAGGGGGGGGGACAAUAGGCUGCCAGAGCUACACUAGUAACUUGUCGUUGACACACCCGCUAGGAACACUUCCCUCGCCAAGACAAACUAACGAUACCAUGGAAGACCACCAUUGGAGGCCGAAAGCAUCCAGGCAUGCAGCUUGAAAACGACAUCGAGCAUGUAUGACGUGCUAAACAAUGUUCUACCCCUUCUUCCAUUUCAGUCCCUGAUCAUUUAAUAACUCUUCAAUUCAACACCUAACCCGAUCCAACUAAGCCCGGUAAGGGAGAGGAAAGGGGAAAAUAAAUUUGGCUCAACUGGGAAAAAAAACCCUAACCCAACCGAACUCGCCUCAAAAAGUGAGGGAGAAGAAGAAAAGAGAAAGAGAGGGAAAAGGUGGCCAACCCAAACUGACGACAAACACAUUGGCUCUUUUCAUAUUGAGCAAAUUUCAAAUUGGACAUGACACAUGCCCAAUAUACUCACCACUUUGAAUUCUCUAUUUUACAAGUUAUCAGUCACACUUGAAUUUUCUUCUUACAAGGUUAUGAAUACGAUGCCCACUUGAACUCUCUAAAUUGUCAAUACAAUGCCUACCUAAAAGCCUUGUCUCACAAGUUAACAUGAUGGCAUGAACAACUUGUCCUAACAAGUUGUUCGUGCAGAUAUUCACGGUGAAUUAAAUAUUCUUUGAUUCCUACAAGUAGGUGUGCGAACCUACAACCUAUAAUGAAAAUACAGAAAAUACAAGUGAUGCUAUAAUGAAAAUACAGAAAAUACAAGUGAUGCUAUAAUGAAAAUACAGAAAAUACAAGUGAUGCCAGGUAUAUUAAUACCAAUGACCAACCACACAUAUAGAACACAGCACAUUCUCCUACAUUUUCAUUUCCCUUCUUCUAUAAAUUAUGCUUAGGCAUUGGAGGGUCCUAUGAAGGACUUGUUUCACAGGAGAAAAUGGAUUAUUAACCCAAGCACAUUUUUUUUUCCAAUCCCAUUAAGCAGCCAUGGAAAGGUCCGUGUGAAGUCUUUCGAACUUCGUCAAUAUAUGUUUGGAAAUUAUUUAAUUAUAGGAUAAUAACUGCAUAACAUCCAGCUCUAUUAACCUUGAUCAAACCACAAAUUCUUUUUCCACUGAAUGAAUAUGAAAAUAACUUAAAUAAAACAUUAAUCUUUUGUUUUUUAGCAUAAACUAUUGACUUGUUGGUUUAGCAUCCAUCCUUUAGAAUCAAAAUUAAAAAGUAAAAACAAAACAAUUCCCUGCAAAAGGAUCAAAAGCAAGCAAACACCCAAAAAAUAAUUAAUCAAAGACAUAGCCAAAACACCAAAAUCCCUUAGGUAAUUAAAUCAUAACCAAUCCCAUCAUCCGGUAUCAUAACAAACAUCAAUUAAAAAAGAAAAGGGAAUAAAAAAACUGACCUUGGAGGUCCAAAGAAGAUCACUAGAAGCAACACGGUUCCAGGUACGAGAAACGACGAGACAUAGUGCCAAGCUGCGUGCGUCAAAGUUGUUUAAAACCCUCAACAUCAAGUCCCUACCAAGCCCAUCCAAAGGGUCUUGACAAAAGGGACGACCUCGAUCCUCCCUCAUCUUCUUUCUUUUCCUUUUCUUU